rnacentral:rRNA from 1 species
GAUGAACGCUGGCGGCGUGCCUAAUACAUGCAAGUCGAGCGAACGGACGAGAAGCUUGCUUUUCUGAUGUUAGCGGCGGACGGGUGAGUAACACGUGGAUAACCUACCUAUAAGACUGGGAUAACUUCGGGAAACCGGAGCUAAUACCGGAUAAUAUUUUGAACCGCAUGGUUCAAAAGUGAAAGACGGUCUUGCUGUCACUUAUAGAUGGAUCCGCGCUGCAUUAGCUAGUUGGUAAGGUAACGGCUUACCAAGGCAACGAUGCAUAGCCGACCUGAGAGGGUGAUAGGCCACACUGUAACUGAGACACGGUCCAGACUCCUACGGGAGGCAGCAGUAGGGAAUCUUCCGCAAUGGGCGAAAGCCUGACGGAGCAACGCCGCGUGAGUGAUGAAGGUCUUCGGAUCGUAAAACUCUGUUAUUAGGGAAGAACAUAUGUGUAAGUAACUGUGCACAUCUUGACGGUACCUAAUCAGAAAGCCACGGCUAACUACGUG